rnacentral:lncRNA from 10 species
UGCCCACUAGCCCGACGCCCGCCUGGCGGGAACAUGGGCUCGCCCCUCACCAGCGAUCUGCAGUCAGUUGGUAGCGCCUGCACGUCGCGCGCGGUGUUCGAUUGUCGCUGCCUGGGGAGGAGGAGCCGGAGCCGCCGCCGCCGCCGCCGCCGCCGCGGGCUUCGUUCGUAAGGAAGGGGGCCUAGGCCCGGGCCUGCGGUGGUGGGGGUUGCUGCGCGCCGGGGGUCGCUCCUGCUGUGUCUUCCGCUCCAGCUUCGCCCACUUCCCCUUGCCAGCGGGGUGGGCGCGGAGAAGACCUGCCGGAGCCAUGGAGGACGAAGUGGUCCGCUUUGCCAAGAAGAUGGACAAGAUGGUGCAGAAGAAGAACGCGGCUGGAGCAUUGGAUUUGCUAAAGGAGCUUAAGAAUAUUCCUAUGACCCUGGAAUUACUGCAGUAGCCAUCCGGGCCAGGCGCUCAUGCCUGUAAUCCCAGCACUUUGGGAGGCUGAGGCGGGUGGAUCACCUGAGGCUAGGAGUUCAAGACCAGCCUGGCCAACAUGUCCACAAGAAUCGGAAUGUCAGUUAAUGCUAUUCGCAAGCAGAGUACAGAUGAGGAAGUUACAUCUUUGGCAAAGUCUCUCAUCAAAUCCUGGAAAAAAUUAUUAGAUGGGCCAUCAACUGAGAAAGACCUUGACGAAAAGAAGAAAGAACCUGCAAU